UGAUAGUCAGCAGCGAGCGCCUCCGCUUCC
rnacentral:sRNA from 1 species